rnacentral:lncRNA from 8 species
AUGCUACAACAAAAGUUACAGCAUUUACAAAUGUUAUAUAAAUGUAUUUAUUCUUAUAUUUUAGCAAUAGCCAACCAAGGAGCAACCCAGAUAACUGAAGGAGUCUGGAUAUUAUCUGCAGUUGCAGAUGAACUUAUUGUCCAAGUUCUCCUGGAAGCCUUUGACAACAUGGAGGAAAGUUGGGACAGCAUAGAUGAAGCAGGAGACUACUCAACAGAUGCAGCUAGACAUUUACCAAGCUGUUCAUGUCAGCAAAUCACUGAACACAAGGGAACAGAAGUGGGAGAAGAGACCCUGACUGACAUGACAGCAUUUAAGCCAGUCAUGAAGGUCUUAGUGCUGCUUGCGCUUGCUGUUUUCACUGGGUGCAAAAAUUAUGUUCUGUGGCAGGACCAGUCUAAGCGGAUAAGACAGUGGUGCCACACAGUCAAGUUAGUCUCAAUAUGUAGAAAAUAA